rnacentral:lncRNA from 1 species
AUUUCAACAGGACGAGGGCCGUGUCGUGACCCCCAAGUCCCCCAAGUCAGGAUGGCACGCCACCCCCAGGCCACCUGCAGCCUUACCUGCCCUGAGUCCAUGACCGCCAGGCAAUGCUGGGCCCCGACAGCCACAUGCACGAUCUUCUUCCCUCUCAGCCCUUCCACCACCUGCGGCUUCCGAACGUGCACGUCAGAGCGGUGGCCCAACCUGAAGUAAUCCCCCUUUCCCCUGAGAGGAGGCCCGUGGUGGAGUGUUACAAUACGGUUAUGGUCUUACCAUGCGAUACAAGAAGACACUCAUUGUCUCACAUCUUUCACAGCCAGCUCAAUGACAUCACACACAGCACCCAAGGUCUUCGAACUUGUAUUCAAAAUCAUACACCAUUAAUUCAAAUUAACUUAUUAAGUCAGCUGGGAAAAACCUUAAUACCUUAAUACAUGUUCUACAAUAUUUAAGUUACUGUUGUAGGUUUUCAUAUAGACUGAAAAUAAGACACACUACUGCAAACACCUAUCCAAAGUCCUAUCUAGUAUACAUCUUUCUUAAAGUGCCAAUGUUGGCCAGUCGCGGUGGUUCACGCCUGUAAUCCCAGCACUUUGGGAGGCUGAGGUGGGUGGAUCACGAGGUCAGGAGAUUGAGACCAUCCUGGCUAACACGGUGAAACCCCAUCUCUACUAAAAAUACAAAAAAAUUAGCCGGGCAUGGUGGCAGACACCUGUAGUCCCAGCUACUCGGGAGGCUGAGGCAGGAGAAUGGUGUGAACCCCGGAGGCGGAGCUUGCAAUGAGCUGAGAUUGUGCCACUGCAUUCCAGCCUGGGCGAUAGAGCGAGACUCCAUCUCAAAUAAAUAAAUAAAUAAAUAGUGCCAAUGUUAUGACCAGAGGCAGCAAGGCCUGACACAGCAUCCAAGGCCAGUCUGGGCACCUGCUCUUUUGCACAUUAAUAUAAUAAGCUUUAACAAGAAAUACAUGUUAACUUUCUCAGGAUCAAAGGAUUCAGAAGGCUAUUUUGCUCUCAUUUUAUCCUUAGGCUUCAGCAGAAGAAACACUUCCUAUAAAUCUCGCCCAAACAGGAAAGCAAACCUGAAAAUACACUAUCCUCCAGCUAUCAGAAUUAUAUUGAGAUCUACUCACAUUUAUGAUGAUGUUCAGAGAUUCAUCAUUGGGAAGGAAAAUGCACACGCUGCGGCGGUCUUGCAUGACUCUGUUGUGGAAAUUCAAUUUGUUCAUUGUGUUUUGGGCUCUCUGGGUGGUCAGGGCUGGGCUCUGGGUCCUUGGCAAUUCCUCAGGUUCCCAGCACUCCAAAGCCAAGCUCACCUCCUCAUCACACGCCCUGCAGGAGAAGCAUCAGGGUGUCCGACUACGUGGGUUUCAUAGCUGUGGAAAAGCCAAAGGGGAGACUCCUGAAGAAAGGCGGUGAAGACUGUGAAGAGCGGGUCAGGAAGAUGAGCACAGCACUGCUACUCCUGUGGGCACAGGGACAGCAUGUCUCCAGCCAGCGCCACCUUGUUUAAUACAUGGGAACUCACUGAAAUUCAUUCUGUAUUUUGCCCACAAAGUUUUAAAGCUUUCAUCCACAGUCAGGAAUUAAACUUAUACCAAUGAGAGCCUCACACAUUCAAGGAUGUACUAAGCACUACAGGCCUCACAGAAACAGAGAUCCCAUCUUGGAGUUUUCAGUCCCACAUGGGAGAUAAAGGGUUUUGAACAUGAAAUGACAAAAACAACAGCAAGAAGAAAAUUCUCGUCCUUUUUCAUUACUAUCAAACUCAAAUAAAUGUCUUGGCUCUUACAUUACAUUCAUUCUUCAACCAUUGUGGUCUGGCUUCCACUUCCUUCACUUCACCAACAUGGCUCUGCCAAAGGAAGCCUGUGAUCUCUAGGCCAUCACUUUAAUUGAUCUCUCUACAACAUUUAUCCUGGUCGUUAAGCCCUCCUUACAACAUUCUUCUCUCUUUGUUUUUAUGGCUCUGUCUCUCCUGCUUCUUUAACCUGAUAAUGCAUACUUGAUUUUUCCAUUUAUUAUUUCAUCAACCAAUUAAUACACAGAUAAAACAAGACUGUGUAUA